rnacentral:rRNA from 1 species
UGGGGAAUUUUGGACAAUGGGCGAAAGCCUGAUCCAGCAAUGCCGCGUGUGUGAAGAAGGCCUUCGGGUUGUAAAGCACUUUUGUCCGGAAAGAAAUCCUUGGCUCUAAUACAGUCGGGGGAUGACGGUACCGGAAGAAUAAGCACCGGCUAACUACGUGCCAGCAGCCGCGGUAAUACGUAGGGUGCAAGCGUUAAUCGGAAUUACUGGGCGUAAAGCGUGCGCAGGCGGUUUGCUAAGACCGAUGUGAAAUCCCCGGGCUCAACCUGGGAACUGCAUUGGUGACUGGCAGGCUAGAGUAUGGCAGAGGGGGGUAGAAUUCCACGUGUAGCAGUGAAAUGCGUAGAGAUGUGGAGGAAUACCGAUGGCGAAGGCAGCCCCCUGGGCCAAAUACUGACGCUCAUGCACGAAAAGCGUGGGGGAGCAAAACAGGAUUAGAUACCCUGGUAGUCCACGCCCUAAAACGAUGUCAACUAGUUGUUGGGGAUUCAUUCCUUAGUAACGUAGCUAACGCGUGAAGUUGACCGCCUGGGGAGUACGGUCGCAAGAUUAAAACUCAAAGGAAUUGACGGGGUCAUAGCUGUUUCCU